rnacentral:rRNA from 1 species
UACGUAGGGAGCAAGCGUUGUUCGGAAUUACUGGGCGUAAAGGGCGCGUAGGCGGCCUUCUAAGUCGGACGUGAAAUCCCUCGGCUUAACCCAGAGGCUGCUUCCAAAACUGCUGUGCUUGAGUGUGGGAGAGGCGCGUGGAAUUGCAGGUGUAGCGGUGAAAUGCGUAGAUAUCUGCAGGAACACCCGUGGCGAAAGCGGCGCGCUGGACCACUACUGACGCUGAGGAACGAAAGCUAGGGGAGCAAACAGG